rnacentral:rRNA from 1 species
AACCUACCUUAAUCUGGGGGAUAGCCUCUCGAAAGAGAGAUUAACACCGCAUAACAUCACGCUACGGCAUUGUAAUGUGAUCAAAUAUUUAUAGGAUUAAGAUGGGCAUGCGGAACAUUAGCUAGUUGGUAAGGUAAUGGCUUACCAAGGCUACGAUGUUUAGGGGAUCUGAGAGGAUGACCCCCCACACUGGUACUGAGACACGGACCAGACUCCUACGGGAGGCAGCAGUAAGGAAUAUUGGUCAAUGGGCGGAAGCCUGAACCAGCCAUGCCGCGUGCAGGAAGACGGCCCUACGGGUUGUAAACUGCUUUUGUACCGGAAUAAACCUUGAUUCGUGAAUCAAGCUGAAUGUACGGUAAGAAUAAGGAUCGGCUAACUCCGUGCCAGCAGCCGCGGUAAUACGGAGGAUCCGAGCGUUAUCCGGAUUUAUUGGGUUUAAAGGGUGCGUAGGCGGCUUUUUAAGUCAGGGGUGAAAGACGGUAGCUCAACUAUCGCAGUGCCUUUGAUACUGAAGAGCUUGAAUACACUUGAGGUAGGCGGAAUGUGACAAGUAGCGGUGAAAUGCAUAGAUAUGUCACAGAACACCAAUUGCGAAGGCAGCUUACUAAAGUGUGAUUGACGCUGAGGCACGAAAGCGUGGGGAUCAAACAGGAUUAGAUACCCUGGUAGUCCACGCCCUAAACGAUGAAUACUCGAUGUUGGCGAUAUACGGUCAGCGUCUAAGCGAAAGCGUUAAGUAUUCCACCUGGGGAGUACGCCCGCAAGGGUGAAACUCAAAGGAAUUGACGGGGGCCCGCACAAGCGGAGGAGCAUGUGGUUUAAUUCGAUGAUACGCGAGGAACCUUACCCGGGCUUGAAAGUUAGUGAAUGAUCCAGAGACGGAUCAGCUCUUCGGAGCACGAAACUAGGUGCUGCAUGGCUGUCGUCAGCUCGUGCCGUGAGGUGUUGGGUUAAGUCC